rnacentral:misc_RNA from 1 species
AUUGUACAUCCUCAUACUGCAGAUACACAUCAGGUGGCAUGAGAAUUAGAAAAUUCAAUCUCAUAAUUAUAGGCUAUGUUUGGGACGAGCGAGCUCGACCUUGAAAAAAUUGACAAGCUGAGCCUAAGCUCUUCAAAGCUCGGCUCGGCUCAGCUUCUUUAUACCACCAUUAACACAGUAAAAUUACUUCAUGGUAACAUGGUUGCCAAUUGUUUUGGCUAUAGUGAGCCUUCCUGCAUUAUCUGAACAACUAGAAAAAGCCUAACAAUAUGCAUCAAUUGGUGACAAUUUUCAAAAGGGAAAAAGCUUAUGAAGUAACUUUGCCUGUAAACUGGAAACAGGACUCUGUGCAUGUAGAGAGUAUGUGUGCCUAUACAUGUGCCUCAUUUGUUGUCUUGCACAAUACUAUGCCUAGACAAUGAGAUCAGGAAAAGGGAAGAUCAGUUAAAAGAGUAAUGAGAAGUGAAUGCUGUUCCCAAGUCAUCCAACUACAACACAAGCUGCAUUUAUCUUAAGGAGAACAUUCUUAUUCUAGUUUCACAUAAAAAAUGUAACCUGCACAGAACUAAUCAUGGAACCUGCAGCAUGCAAGGCCUGGAUGUGAAGCCCUAUACGUAAGAAAGAAAAUGAAAGGCUCAUGGCCAAAAAAAAACCUUAAUCUUUCAAUACAUAUACCUAUCUUAUAGCUUUGCCAAAGGACCAAGACUGGAGAAAACAAAAGCAGCAAUCAUUGUGAGACAAAAGCAAGAAGGAAGGGGGAAAAAUAUGCUCUUAAAGAGCUUAAUAUUUCAGUUAUAAACUUAUCAUCAUACUUAUGUCACUGUUGAGUCAUAAUCAUUGCUCAAAGGUUCAUGGUGAUUAAAUAUGAAAGUCUAAAAUUUUAGUAUAAUCAGUAUUCUCGUAUUGCUUAUAUAUAUGCAUCAGUUUAGAGUUGUGGAUACUGAGAUCUAGAAUAGCUACAUCGGGAAGCAAAAUGUCAUAGCAAAUAAUGUGUCAUGCAUCAAAGAAGAAGAAAGAGCAGCUUUAAGCUUUUCUGUCGAAUAGGAAGAUAUACAACAGAGUACAGAUGCAACAUCUGUCCACACAGAAAAUUUGUGAUACAUAAUUGAGGGCAUAUGUAUACUUCUUCCAGGAAUCAGAAAAAUUAAUAUUGUUCCCAAAACGUCCGAACGCAACAUAUGCACAUCAUUGGCUGCACCGGUUUUAAGAGGAACAUUGUUUUAACUCCACAUCAACAAUGUCGCAAACCAAACUUGCAACCUAACUUAUUAAAAAUUGCAUGUGAAGUAUUUACACACAAAGAAAAUGAACCAAUCAUAGCAAAAAGAAAUGCAAAGCUUCAUUCAUUCUAUGGGUUUUGAUCCUCUAAACCCCCCCCCAAAGUAAAAAAGAUGAAUUCGGAAGAAAAAUGAAAUCAAUUAGUGAAUCCUUUAAUGUCAAUUACCCACAAUAUGUCAAACACCAAAGGAUAAUCAAACCAUUAAAUUCAAUCAACUAAGCAGAUCAACGGGCAGGAUAGAAAAGGAAAACAAAUGAAAUGACAAAGAAAAAACCAAAAAGGAGGCGAUGAAUGGAAAUAUUUAAAAACCUGUCUCGCACUUGAAGCUGCUCGAUUACGGCUGCCAUGCGCCUCUGGUCUUCUUCAGGUAGA